GUUUUUGGGUCUCCCUCAUUCGAGCCCCACUCUCCAACCCCUUUGUGUACCUACCUUUGUUGCUUGGGCGGGCCGCGGUUCUCCGCGGACGGCCCCCUGACCGGGGCUGGCCUGCGCCCGCCAGAGGACCACAAAACUCCAGUCAGUGAACUUUGCUGUCUGAUUUAAAUUCAAUAAACUAAAACUUUCAACAACGGAUCUCUUGGUUCUGGCAUCGAUGAAGAACGCAGCGAAAUGCGAUAAGUAAUGUGAAUUGCAGAAUUCAGUGAAUCAUCGAAUCUUUGAACGCACAUUGCGCCCUUUGGUAUUCCGAAGGGCAUGCCUGUUCGAGCGUCAUUACACCCCUCAAGCUCUGCUUGGUGUUGGGCGGCGUCCUCCCGGACGCGCCUCAAAGACCUCGGCGGUGGCGUCUUGCCUCAAGCGUAGUAGAAACACCUCGCUUUGGAGGACGGGACGACCGACUCGCCGGAGGAACCUAUCAAUUC
rnacentral:rRNA from 1 species